rfam:Schistocephalus solidus strain NST_G2 genome assembly, scaffold: SSLN_scaffold0007259
AGCCUCGUAGCUCAGUUGGCUAGAGCGUUGACUGUAAUAAAGCCUUCCCUUUGCUGGCGUGGGUUAGAAUCCCACCGAAGAUG